rnacentral:rRNA from 1 species
AUUGAACGCUGGCGGCGGGCCUAACACAUGCAAGUCGAACGGCGCGGCGGAAGGGUAAGUACUACCUGGGAAUCUGCCUGGUAGUAGGCGAUCACGUUCGGAAGCGUAACCUAAUAACGCAUACUAGCAAGUGGCCUUCGGUCGGAUUAGCUAGUUGGUGAGGUAAUGGCUCACCAAGGCUACGAUCCGUAACUGGUCUGAGAGGAUGAUCAGUCACACUGUAACUGAGACACGGUCCAGACUCCUACGGGAGGCAGCAGUGGGGAAUAUUGGACAAUGGGCGAAAGCCUGAUCCAGCCAUGCCGCGUGUGUGAAGAAGGUUUUCGGAUUGUAAAGCACUGUAGGUUGGGAAGCGUUAUCGACAGAGUAAGCCACGGCUAACUCUGUGCCAGCAGCCGCGGUAAUUC